rnacentral:rRNA from 1 species
AGUGAACGCUGGCGGUAGGCCUAACACAUGCAAGUCGAACGGCAGCACAGUAAGAGCUUGCUCUUACGGGUGGCGAGUGGCGGACGGGUGAGGAAUACAUCGGAAUCUACUUUUUCGUGGGGGAUAACGUAGGGAAACUUACGCUAAUACCGCAUACGACCUACGGGUGAAAGCAGGGGAUCUUCGGACCUUGCGCGAUUGAAUGAGCCGAUGUCGGAUUAGCUAGUUGGCGGGGUAAAGGCCCACCAAGGCGACGAUCCGUAGCUGGUCUGAGAGGAUGAUCGGCCACACUGGAACUGAGACACGGUCCAGACUCCUACGGGAGGCAGCAGUGGGUAAUAUUGGGCAAUGGGCGCAAGCCUGAUGCAGCCAUACCGCGUGAGUGAAGAAGGCCUUCGGGUUGUAAAGCCCUUUUGUUAGGAAAGAAAAGCAGCAGGUGAAUACCCCGCUGUUCUGACGGUACCCAAAGAAUAAGCACCGGCUAACUUCGUG